rnacentral:rRNA from 1 species
CCCAGCCAUAACACAACAAUGUAAACUACCAAUUGUUCGCCAAAUAACUACGAGUACAGACUUAAAAUUUAAAAGACUUGACGGUACCUCACAACAACCUAGAGGAGCCUGUCAAAUAACCGAUACCCCACGAUUAACCCUACCCCCCCUAGCCAAUCAGUCUAUAUACCGCCGUCGCCAGCCCACCUUAUGAAAGAAAUAAAGCGGGCUAAAUAGCCACCACACUAGAACGACAGGUCGAGGUGUAACUUAUGGGUGGGCCCCAGAUGGGCUACAUUUUCUUAUACAGAAAAUUACGAAUAAACUAUGAAAUAAGAAACUGAAGGUGGAUUUAGCAGUAUAUUAGAAUAAAACAUCUAAUCGAAACCAACGCAAUGAGGUGCGUACACACCGCCCGUCAUCCCUGUUACCCAAACCACAAUUUUCAUAAACACACAUAUAACUCAUAACAGGGGAAGUCGUA